GGGAACCCAUCACAAAGUUAGAUAUAAAGAAUUCUUAAAGCUUUUUCUGUUUGCCAGAGAAACUUCCGGGGUUGCUGUGACUGUCUUGGCCUGUCUGAGGCAGUGCAGCUCUCUAGGGACAUGUGA